rnacentral:tRNA from 1 species
CAGAAAGUAGUUUAAUAAAUAAUAAUUUUGGAUAUUAUAGUUGAUUCAAAAUCCUUUCUGA